CAAAAACCUUUAAACUUGUAGGCCCUUAACCAGCCCCCAACAAAGAAUGCGUCAAAGCUCCGCACUAAAAAAAAUCUAAAAAUCCAUGCGACUCCCUUCCCCUUAACGGGCUAACCUAUUUAAAUAGGAGCAUUAAUGCUAGAAUAAGUAACUAAGGAACCCCCUUCUAAAGCACAAACUUACAUCCCACAUUAUUAACAGGCCCACUAAUAACCCAACCCACACAAGACCAACUAUCUUACCCCCUGUUAAGCCAACCCAGGAGUGCUAAACUAGAAAGAUUCAAACCUGUAAAAGGAACUAGGCAAACCCAAGGCCCGACUGUUUACCAAAAACAUAGCCUUCAGCAAAAAUACCAAGUAUUGAAGGUGAUGCCUGCCCAGUGACACUAAGUUCAACGGCCGCGGUAUCCUAACCGUGCAAAGGUAGCGCAAUCAAUUGUCCCAUAAAUCGAGACUUGUAUGAAUGGCCAAACGAGGUCUUAACUGUCUCUUACAGGUAAUCAGUGAAAUUGAUCUCCCUGUGCAAAAGCAAGGAUAGACUCAUAAGACGAGAAGACCCUGUGGAACUUAAAAACCAGCAGUCA
rnacentral:rRNA from 1 species